AUUGAACGCUGGCGGCGGGCUUAACACAUGCAAGUCGAGCGGAGAUGAGGUGCUUGCACCUUAUCUUAGCGGCGGACGGGUGAGUAAUGCUUAGGAAUCUGCCUAUUAGUGGGGGACGACAUUCCGAAAGGAAUGCUAAUACCGCAUACGUCCUACGGGAGAAAGCAGGGGAUCUUCGGACCUUGCGCUAAUAGAUGAGCCUAAGUCGGAUUAGCUAGUUGGUGGGGUAAAGGCCUACCAAGGCGACGAUCUGUAGCGGGUCUGAGAGGAUGAUCCGCCACACUGGGACUGAGACACGGCCCAGACUCCUACGGGAGGCAGCAGUGGGGAAUAUUGGACAAUGGGGGGAACCCUGAUCCAGCCAUGCCGCGUGUGUGAAGAAGGCCUUAUGGUUGUAAAGCACUUUAAGCGAGGAGGAGGCUACUGAGACUAAUACUCUUGAAUAGUGGACGUUACUCGCAGAAUAAGCACCGGCUAACUCUGUGCCAGCCGCCGCCGUAAGAC
rnacentral:rRNA from 1 species